UACAGAGGAUGCAAGCGUUAUCCGAAAUGAUUGGGCGUAAAGCGUCCGCAGGUGGCAGUUCAAGUCUGCUGUCAAAGACCGGGGCUUAACUUCGGAAAGGCAGUGGAAACUGAACAGCUAGAGUAUGGUAGGGGCAGAGGGAAUUCCUGGUGUAGCGGUGAAAUGCGUAGAGAUCAGGAAGAACAUCGGUGGCGAAGGCGCUCUGCUGGACCAUAACUGACACUCAGGGACGAAAGCUAGGGGAGCGAAUGGG
rnacentral:rRNA from 1 species